CAGGAGGAGCCUCUCCACUUCCUACUGUAUACACCUCAGCCCCACAUCUGCAGGAGCCUAUUUAUUACCUACUGUAUGCACCUCAGCCCCACAUCUGCAGGAGGAGCCUCUCUACUUCCUACUGUGUACACCUCAGCCCCACAUCUGCAGGAGGAGCCUCUCCACUUCCUACUGUAUACACCUCAGCCCCACAUCUGCAGGAGCCUCUUUACUUCCGAUUGUAUACACCUCAGUCUUUAUGUCUGAGGAGGAGUCUCUACCUUGGUCUCUGGCUCUCUGCUUCGAGGUUCUUUUUUCAUUCCUCUCCCUCCUUGCCUCUGACCUCAGGCUCUCCAGAGCUAUUUGCUAUUGUCAAACGGUUGGUGUUUGUUUCUUACCCUUUCUAGUUUUCCGAAUUUUAAGUUGUAGGAAGAGACCCCUGAUGAAAAUGACCUUUAAUAACUUAUAUUGAAAGGGUGAGGGUCUUCACACCAAACCGAAGCUGGGACUGUUGCAGCGGCCAAGCCGGGGCUUCCGUGCUUCCACUGAUCCUUGGGCGGUAUCUGGCCAUGUGCGAGCAGAAAUGCAAGGUCUGUUCAGGCCCACGGUUGUAACUGCGACCUCUGGUCAAGGGAGGAGAACUGAGAUCACACCCUCUGCUUCAUCAGGCUUUAGUGCUGUGAGAUCCUGUGAGGCAGAGUUUCUUCACUCGUAAAUACUAAAGAUAAAAUUGUGAACUUAAAGGUUAUUUCAAUGCAAAUUUUGGUUGCCCAUUUUUGCUUAACAUAAAAGCUUUCUAAAUUUACCCAUAGAAUUAUCUUUGAAAAAGAGAUUUAAAAUUUCUUCAGUUUCUGUUUUGUUCACUUAGAUGUGGUGAUAUGAAACUUUCUUAAAUUGGGCCUCUCUAAGCAAUGAAAAAUAAGCAAUUGCUCUCUAUGCAAUGAAAAUGUAACUAGCCAUGAGUGUCAGCAUGUGGGCAUCUGCCUUCUGGCCGUGGAAGCCUGGCAGAGGAUCUGUGAGACAAUAGUGGGGCAUCUUGUGGCUUCUCUUACUCCUGCCUAUUAUUUUCAUGAAAAUUACAGGUGGAUUUGGGACUUUUUAUCUGAUUACAUGCUACUGAUUGAUGCAGGUGCAUCUGUAAAAGAAUAGCUGCAGUUAUCUCCAGGGCAGGUGCAGGUCAUGGCAGUUGCUAUGGAUGCAGGAUCUUGCUGGCUGCUGGAGCGGGGAGCAGGGUCUCUAUCCCAUUCCCUGUGUUGAGAUUUUCCACAGUACAUGGAUCCUGCGCUACUGUGACGUCUCCAUUAGGAGGCUAACGGGGGCACUGAGCUAAGCACUGGUUUGCCCUGUUCUUCCCACUUGGUGACAUGGAACCCUUCAGAACCACAGUCCCCAGCCAGGCCACACUUGUGAGGAACACACUCGAGCCCUGUGUGUGGCAGCAGGAUGGCGGGU
rnacentral:lncRNA from 13 species